UACGUAGGGUGCAAGCGUUGUCCGGAAUUAUUGGGCGUAAAGAGCUCGUAGGCGGCUUGUCGCGUCGGCUGUGAAAACCUGGGGCUCAACCCCGGGCCUGCAGCCGAUACGGGCAAGCCGUAAGGAAUUCGGUGAGGGGAGACGUGGAAUUCCUGGUGUAGACGGGUGAAAUGCGCAGAUAUCGAGGAGGAACACCGGUGGCGAAGGCGGGUCUCUGGGCCGAUACUGACGCUGAGGAGCGAAGCGUGGGGAGCGAACAGG
rnacentral:rRNA from 1 species